GACAGAGGGUGCAAACGUUAUUCGGAAUCACUGGGCUUAAAGGGCGCGUAGGCGGGCCGCCAGGUCCGGGGUGAAAGCCUCCAGCUCAACUGGAGAAGUGCCUUGGAUACCGGCGGCCUCGAGGGAGGUAGGGGCGUGCGGAACUUCGGGUGGAGCGGUGAAAUGCGUAGAUAUCCGAAGGAACACCGGUGGCGAAAGCGGCGCGCUGGAUCUCUGCUGACGCUGAGGCGCGAAAGCCAGGGGAGCAAACGGG
rnacentral:rRNA from 1 species